rnacentral:rRNA from 1 species
UACGUAGGGGGCUAGCGUUGUCCGGAAUCAUUGGGCGUAAAGCGCGUGUAGGCGGUUCGGUAAGUCUGCUGUGAAAGUCGGGGGCUCAACCCUCGAAUGCCGGUGGAUACUGUCGGACUAGAGUGCGGAAGGGGCUACUGGAAUUCUCGGUGUAGCGGUGAAAUGCGUAGAUAUCGAGAGGAACACCUGCGGCGAAGGCGGGUAGCUGGGCCGUUCCUGACGCUGAGGCGCGAAGGCCAGGGGAGCAAACGGG